GCCUUAGCUCAGUUGGUAGAGCGCCUGACUGUUAAUCAGGUUGUCGCUGGUUCGAUGCCAGCCAGGAA
rnacentral:tRNA from 1 species